rnacentral:rRNA from 1 species
UACAGAGGUGGCAAGCGUUGUUCGGAAUUACUGGGCGUAAAGGGCGCGUAGGCGGCCUACUAAGUCAGACGUGAAAUCCCCCGGCUUAACCUGGGAACUGCGUCUGAUACUGGAAGGCUUGAGGAUGGGAGAGGGAUGUAGAAUUCCAGGUGUAGCGGUGAAAUGCGCAGAUAUCAGGAGGAACACCAAUUGCGAAGGCAGCUCGCUGGGACGUAACUGACGCUGAGACGCGAAAGCGUGGGGAGCAAACAGG